UUUGUACUGCAGUCGGUCAGUAUUUGGUUGUUGGAUUCUGAGCACUAUCGGACCCAAAGGGUGACGGCACCGCUAGGAUGAAGCUCAUGAGAUUUUUGAUGAAACUGUGCCAUGAAACUGUAACCAUUGCAUUGAAGAACAGAACACAGGUCCAUGGAACAAUCACAGGUGUGGAUGUCAGCAUGAAUACACAUCUUAAAGCUGUGAAAACGACCCUGAAGAACAGAGAACCUGUACAGCUGGAAACGCUGAGUAUUCGAGGAAAUAACAUUCGGUAUUUUAUUCUACCAGAUAGUUUACCUCUGGAUACACUACUUGUGGAUGUUGAACCUAAGGUGAAAUCUAAGAAAAGGGAAGCUGUUGCAGGAAGAGGCAGAGGAAGAGGAAGAGGACGUGGCCGUGUCAGAGGAAGAAGGGGUCCUAGGCGAUAAUAUCUCUCAAGAUUACUGUUUUGAAGUCAUAUGGGAUUUGGGAUAUUUUUUGCACAGGUUGUGUUUGUUUAUGUCAGUUUUUAAUAAACAUAA